AUGAAGAUAUCACUGAUUCUACUGCUGCUCACCCUGGGGCUCCUUGUUCAGGGUUCAUCAGGAGACAUCAUCCUGACUCAGUCUCCUGGAUCUCAGUCUGUUGUUCCAGGACAGACUGUCUCUAUCAGAUGUAAAGCCAGUUCAGGUAUAAGUAACUACCUUCACUGGUACCUUCAAAUAUCUGGAGAAUCUCCCAAACUCUUGAUUUAUUAUUCUACAAGUCGUCAGUCUGGAGUAGCAGGUCGUUUCAGUGGGAGUGGAUCUGGAACUGACUUCACUCUGACCAUCAGUGGAGUUCAGACUGAAGAUGCAGGAGAUUAUUACUGUUCACAGAGUGGUUACAGCAACCCGUUCACACAGUGAUACAACGUCGUACAAAAACCUCCCUCAUAUAAAGAGGAACUGAUCUGACUCAACAGCUGCAUACAAAUUAGAGCUAAAAUAAAACAACUUUAAAUAUGCAACAUAAUUAAAUCAUCAUAAUAAGGUAUAUUGA